rnacentral:rRNA from 1 species
AGCCGGCUUACCCCCGGUUCUGCAUUCGAUUCGGCAGCUAGAGUUGGGUAGGGAGAUCGGAAUUCUUGUGUAGGGUGAAAUGGCCAGAUAUCAGGAGGACCCCGUUGCGAAGCCGAAUUCUUGGCCAUUACUGACGCUGAGGAGCGAAGCGUUGGGAGCGAACAGGAUUAGAUACCCUGGUAGUCCACGCGUAAACGUUGGGAACUAGGUGGUGGCGACAUUCCACGUCGUCGGUGCCGCAGCUAACGCAUUAAGUUCCCCGCCUGGGGAGUACGCCGCAAGGCUAAAACUCAAAAGGAAAUUGACGGGGGCCCGCACAAGCAGCGGAGCAUGUGGCUUAAUUCGACGCAACGCGAAGAACCUUACCAAGGCUUGACAUAUACCGGAAACGGCCAGAGAUGGUCGCCCCCUUGUGGUCGGUAUACAGGUGGUGCAUGGCUGUCGUCAGCUCGUGUCGUGAGAUGUUGGGUUAAGUCCCGCAACGAGCGCAACCCUUGUUCUGUGUUGCCAGCAUGCCCUUCGGGGUGAUGGGGACUCACAGGAGACUGCCGGGGUCAACUCGGAGGAAGGUGGGGACGACGUCAAGUCAUCAUGCCCCUUAUGUCUUGGGCUGCACACGUGCUACAAUGGCCGGUACAAAGAGCUGCGAAGCCGCGAGGCAGAGCGAAUCUCAAAAAGCCGGUCUCAGUUCGGAUUGGGGUCUGCAACUCGACCCCAUGAAGUCGGAGUUGCUAGUAAUCGCAGAUCAGCAUUGCUGCGGUGAAUACGUUCCCGGGCCUUGUACACACCGCCCGUCACGUCACGAAAGUCGGUAACACCCGAAGCCGGUGGCCCAACCCCUGGUGGGAGGGAGCUGUCGAAGGUGGGACUGGCGAUUGG